UGGGGAAUAUUGCACAAUGGGGGAAACCCUGAUGCAGCGACGCCGCGUGAGCGAAGAAGUAUUUCGGUAUGUAAAGCUCUAUCAGCAGGGAAGAAAAUGACGGUACCUGACUAAGAAGCACCGGCUAAAUACGUGCCAGCAGCCGCGGUAAUACGUAUGGUGCAAGCGUUAUCCGGAUUUACUGGGUGUAAAGGGGGCGUAGACGGCUGUGUAAGUCUGAAGUGAAAGCCCGGGGCUCAACCCCGGGACUGCUUUGGAAACUAUGCAGCUAGGGUGUCGGA
rnacentral:rRNA from 1 species